rnacentral:other from 3 species
CGAUUCCUGCUGUGUUCGCCUAUAAGCUGUUUUAUUUAAUCCAACAUGUUUAAUUAGGGAGCUACGCUCCACCGGCAGACUUCAGACCUCCCGCCCCCAGGGCGGAAGAAGGGAGGACGAAACCGGCGGGCAGGCACCCACCUGUCUUUACGAUGGGUUACAAUCAUCAGCAUUACGGCACAGCGGGUUUCUU